rnacentral:rRNA from 1 species
GAUGAACGCUGGCGGCGUGCCUAAUACAUGCAAGUCGAACGGAGCUUUGUAUUCGUACGAAGUUUAGUGGCGAACGGGUGAGUAACGCGUUGGUGACCUGCCCCGAAGAGAGGGACAACAGCUCGAAAGGGCUGCUAAUACCUCAUGUGGUCGUAAGGAUUAGAGGCCUUACGUCUAAACGGAGUAAUCCGCUUCGGGAGGGGCCUGCGUCCCAUCAGCUUGUUGGUAGGGUAAUGGCCUACCAAGGCGACGACGGGUAGGGGACCUGAGAGGGUGACCCCCCACACUGGCACUGAAACACGGGCCAGACACCUACGGGUGGCAGCAGUAGGGAAUAUUGCACAAUGGGCGAAAGCCUGAUGCAGCAACGCCGCGUGCACGAUGAAGGCCUUCGGGUCGUAAAGUGCUUUUCGGGGAGAUGAGUAAGGACAGUAUCCCCGGAAUAAGGAUCGGCUAACUACGUGCCAGCCGCCGCAGUAACAC